CCUACGGGAUGCAGCAGUGGGGAAUAUUGCGCAAUGGGCGGAAGCCUGACGCAGCUACGCCGCGUGGGUGAUGAAGGCCUUCGGGUUGUAAAGCCCUGUCGGGAGGGACGAAGUUCUGACGGUACCUCCCAAGAAAGCACCGGCUGACUCCGUGCCAGCAGCCGCGGUAAUACGGAGGGUGCAAGCGUUGCUCGGAAUCAUUGGGCGUAAAGCGUACGCAGGCUGUUCGUUAAGUCGGGUGUGAAAGCCCGGGGCUCAACCCCGGAACUGCGCCCGAAACUGGCGAGCUUGAGUGCGGGAGAGGGAAAGCGGAAUUCCUGGUGUAGAGGUGAAAUUCGUAGAUAUCAGGAGGAACACCGGUGGCGAAAGCGGCUCCCUGGCCCGACACUGACGCUCAUGUACGAAAGCGUGGGGAGCAAACAGGAUUAGAUACCCUAGUAGUC
rnacentral:rRNA from 1 species